rnacentral:tRNA from 1 species
GAAACCGUGGUCUAGCGGUUAGAACGAUGGCUUUGUAAUCCUGGGGUCUCGGGUUCGAUUCCCGGCGGUGCCC